UUUCUCGAUCUACCUUUCUCAAGGUUCACGAAAGCAUGGGAAGACAAAAAACAAAUCGAUUUAUUUUCUAUGUUUUCCAGAUUUUUUAACUUCAAUUUAUAUUACUGUUUUUAUCCAAAUUUUCAAAAGAUGGAAGAUUUCUAAAUUUUAUAAGAGUUGUAUUUGUUUUUUGUUUUGUGAGUGAUCUUUGGGUUACCAAGCCACACAUUCAUGGAAAUAUUCUGGAAUUGGAAUAAGAUGAGAGAGAGAGAAGAGACAAUAAAGAUCUAUGAGCAAAGAGAUGUCAUGAGAGAGAAUAAAGGUGGAAGUGGAACAAAAUAAGAGGAUAUUAUAUGGAUUUGGAGAUUUCAGAAUGGGCAAAGAAAUGAGACAAAACAAUACUUCUGCUAUCAAAGGACAAGAAGGAUCCGAGAAAGUGCGCGUUUAGGGCCGAUUUGACUAAUCAAAUCCUGCAAUAAUACAACUCUUGGAAGAAUGUGGUUUUGGUUAUGUCGUCCGCAUGCGAAACUGUCAGGUUGAUUGGCACUUAAUCACAGCUAUGUUAUGAAUCCACCCGCCGAGAGGCCAUUGGCCCUUAAACACAACGUGGGCUUGUCAAGGUUCGAUGUCGUCUCCGGUGGAACACGCCUCUCCAACAACACAAGUUAGAAAUUUUCUUGGAGUGAAUGAGAAUAAUCCAGAC